GUAGGUGGCAAGCGUUGUCCGGAAUUAUUGGGCGUAAAGCGCGCGCAGGCGGUCCUUUAAGUCUGAUGUGAAAGCCCACGGCUCAACCGUGGAGGGUCAUUGGAAACUGGGGGACUUGAGUACAGAAGAGGAAAGCGGAGUUCCAAGUGUAGCGGUGAAAUGCGUAGAGAUUUGGAGGAACACCAGUGGCGAAGGCGGCUUUCUGGUCUGGGUAACUGACGCUGAGGCGCGAAAGCGUGGGGAGCAAACAGGGAUUAGAUACCCUGGUAGUCCACGCCGUAAACGAUGAGUGCUAAGUGUUAGGGGGUUUCCCGCCCCUUAGUGCUGCAGCUAACGCAUUAAGCACUCCGCCUGGGGAGUACGGCCGCAAGGCUG
rnacentral:rRNA from 1 species